rnacentral:pre_miRNA from 1 species
UUUUCUUCGUCAGCCCAGCUGUGUGACAGUGGAAUCAUAGCUGGCUGGCGAAGAAAAUU